rnacentral:rRNA from 1 species
CCUACGGGAGGCAGCAGUGGGGAAUAUUGCACAAUGGGGGCAACCCUGAUGCAGCGACGCCGCGUGAGUGAAGAAGUAAUUCGUUAUGUAAAGCUCUAUCAGCAGGGAAGAAAAUGACGGUACCUGAGUAAGAAGCCCCGGCUAACUACGUGCCAGCAGCCGCGGUAAUACGUCGGGGGCAAGCGUUAUCCGGAUUUACUGGGUGUAAAGGGAGCGUAGACGGCAGUGCAAGUCUGGAGUGAAAGGCGGGGGCUCAACCCCCGGACUGCUCUGGAAACUGUACGGCUGGAGUGCAGGAGAGGUAAGUGGAAUUCCUGGUGUAGCGGUGAAAUGCGUAGAUAUUAGGAGGAACACCAGUGGCGAAGGCGGCUUACUGAACUGUAACUGACGUUGAGGCUCGAAAGCGUGGGUAGCAAACAGGAUUAGAUACCCCUGUAGUC